rnacentral:rRNA from 1 species
AUUGAACGCUGGCGGCAUGCCUUACACAUGCAAGUCGAACGGCAGCACGGGUGCUUGCCCCUGGUGGCGAGUGGCGAACGGGUGAGUAAUACAUCGGAACAUGUCCUGUAGUGGGGGAUAGCCCGGCGAAAGCCGGAUUAAUACCGCAUACGAUCUACGGAUGACAGCGGGGGCCCUUCUGGCCUCGCGCUUUAGUGUUGGCCGAUGGCUGAUUAGCUAGUUGGUGGGGUAACGGCGUACCAAGGCGACGAUGAGCAGCCGGUCGGAGAGGGCGACCAGCCACACUGGAACUGAGACACGGAGCAGAGCCCUACGGAGGGCAGCAGUAGGGAAUCUUCCGCAAUGGGCGAAAGCCUGACGGAGCAACGCCGCGUGAAUGAUGAAGGUCUUCGGAUCGUAAAACGCGGUUAGUAGGGAAGAACAAAUGUGUAAGUAACUAUGCACGUCUUGACGGGACCUAAUCAGAAAGCCACGGCUAACUACGUG